UCUCUAGUGAAGGUGCUCAUCGUGUCCGUUCUGGGACAGCUUGCUCACCUUUAGUCCUCGAUCGGACACUCAGCUCUCACCUGUGGCUCCAAGUAGCUGCUUACAAUUGACAGCGGCCUCACCCUGGUACACCACCGCGACAGGUGGGGUGAGGGUAGGUGGUGGCUAUGGUGACAUCACGUGCAAUGAUGUGUCAGUCCCUGAUUGGAGAGCACUGAGCAUGCAUGGGGUUUGCCAGAAUGUUUCAGCAUGUGGCGUGUCUAAGAUGUGUUUGUUAUUUCUGUAAAUAAAAGUUCUCUAAUUCUUCCAGAAUAUGAUUCUUUGUUGUUAACCCAUGGUAUGUUUAAAUAGAAGUAACAUAACAUGUUGUCAGAAGUGCUUUUGGAAGAAUAAUACGGGAGAAUCGAGAAUUGAAGAUAAUUGAAAAAAAAGAAGAAAAAAAUUUGAACAGUAAUCGGUGAAAUGGAAGGUUUACUACCCGCACCAAAACUUCAGCUGACUGGGAAUGUAGCUGAGAAUUGGAGGAUCGUCAGGCAACAGUUUGAAUUAUAUUUAUCAGUGAUCGGAUCUGAUAGAAAAGCAGACAAAACCAAAGCGGCAAUCCUGCUCCAUGAAUUGGAAAUGACCCAGUAGAGGAAAAGAAGAUGUGAUUCUUCAGAGAUUCGGUUGAAGGAUGCAGACGAGACAAAACAAGUAAAGAAUAACAAUGAAACACAAGAUCUGUGUAUACGACUUAGAGGGUCUACUCAUGUUCGUAAACCCACAGAGAGACUGAUAGAGACUUGUUGAAUUAUGUAUUUGUUUUGAUUAACUUUGUUAAUUGUUUUUCUUUUUAAGGAAGGGAAGAUGUGGUGAUAUCACGUGCAAUGAUGUGCCAGUUCCUGAUUGGAGAGCACUGAGCAUGCACGGGGUUUACCAGAAAGUAUCAGCAUGUGACGAGGAGAACGGUCUCCCUAGCAAGGUCAGCUUUUGAUGCCCAUCGCUAAUUUUCCCUAAUGUGAAGGAGAAGAUGAUCUGCC